rnacentral:rRNA from 1 species
CUACGGGCGGCAGCAGUGAGGAAUAUUGCACAAUGGGGGGAACCCUGAUGCAGCAACGCCGCGUGGAGGAUGACGCAUUUCGGUGCGUAAACUCCUUUUAUAUGUCAAGAAAAUGACGGUAGCAUAUGAAUAAGCACCGGCUAACUCCGUGCCAGCAGCCGCGGUAAUACGGAGGGUGCAAGCGUUACUCGGAAUCACUGGGCGUAAAGGACGCGUAGGCGGGUUGGAAAGUCAGGUGUGAAAUCCUACAGCUUAACUGUAGAACCGCACUUGAAACUUCUAAUCUAGAGUAUGGGAGGGGGAGAUGGAAUUAGUGGUGUAGGGGUAAAAUCCGUAGAUAUCACUAGGAAUACCUAAAGCGAAGGCGAUCUCCUGGAACAUUACUGACGCUAAGGCGUGAAAGCGUGGGGAGCAAACAGGAUUAGAUACCCUCGUAGUC